UACGGGGGGGGGUAAGCGUUGUUCGGAAUUACUGGGCGUAAAGGGCUCGUAGGCGGCCAACUAAGUCAGACGUGAAAUCCCUCAGCUUAACUGGGGAACUGCGUCUGAUACUGGAUGGCUUGGAUUCGGGAGAGGAAUGCGGAAUUCCAGGUGUAGCGGUGAAAUGCGUAGAUAUCUGGAGGAACACCGGUGGCGAAGGCGGCAUUCUGGACCGACAUUGACGCUGAGACGCGAAAGCCAGGGGAGCGAACGGG
rnacentral:rRNA from 1 species